rnacentral:tmRNA from 1 species
GGGGGCGACCAUGGUUUUGACGUGGGAAUGAAUCCUUAUGUGCAUGCCGAGAAUGAGUACUCUCGUUAAUAAAACUCACAAAAUGUAAAUGCAAACGAUGAAAACUAUGCAGGGGCUAUUGCGGCUUAAUCAGCAAUAGAUACCCUGAGUGUACUGCGCUAAAACUCAGUAUCCUGUUGCCCGAGUCUGCUUAUCGGCGAGGAGCAACAGUUAACCCAGAUAAGAUAACAGCUUGAGUGUUUUCUUAUAGCAAGUUGUGAAAUUUAUAAGAAUAGCUGUUCAACAUCCUGCUUGUCGGAGGCUGAACGGUGAAAUUAAUAGACAAUGCUAAGCAUGUAGAUCAGACGGCGUAAGUCUUGCGGACGCGGGUUCGAUUCCCGCCGCCUCCACCA